GGGCCCAUAGCUCAGCCAGGUCAGAGCGGCCGGCUCUUAACCGGCAGGUCGCGGGAUCAAAGCCCGCUGGGCCCG
rnacentral:tRNA from 1 species